GGUGCCAGCCUGGAGCACAGAUGGUGGCAGCACCAGUAACCAGCCUUGGAGGUGGCUAAAACAGUGACACUAGCAGCUUUGGAGGCUCUCAACCCAGAGAAGAUGUUGUUAGGUGCUCACCCAAAGGAGGUCAUUUGUAUAGGCGCUGCUGGAGACCCCAAGCUUUCUGGAAGUACUGGAGUCGAGUGUGGAUGACCACUUGGCUGUUCAGCCUACCAGGGGAAAGACGAAAUCUGAGCAUCUGUGUUCAAAUACUGGCCUUUCUGCUCCCUAUCUGUGUGGCCUUGGGUAUAUCGCUUGGCUUCCUUGGCCCUCAGU